UACGUAGGGUGCAAGCGUUGUCCGGAAUUAUUGGGCGUAAAGAGCUCGUAGGCGGUUUGUCGCGUCGAAUGUGAAAACCCGGGGCUCAACUCCGGGCCUGCAGCCGAUACGGGCAGACUAGAGUUCGGCAGGGGAGACUGGAAUUCCUGGUGUAGCGGUGAAAUGCGCAGAUAUCAGGAGGAACACCGGUGGCGAAGGCGGGUCUCUGGGCCGAUACUGACGCUGAGGAGCGAAAGCGUGGGGAGCGAACAGG
rnacentral:rRNA from 1 species